UGAGGAAUAUUGGUCAAUGGACGGAAGUCUGAACCAGCCAAGUAGCGUGCAGGAUGACGGCCCUAUGGGUUGUAAACUGCUUUUGUAUGGGGAUAAAGUUAGGGACGUGUCCCUAUUUGCAGGUACAAUACGAAUAAGGACUGGCUAAUUCCGUGCCAGCAGCCGCGGUAAUACGGAAGGUCCAGGCGUUAUCCGGAUUUAUUGGGUUUAAAGGGAGCGUAGGCUGGAGAUUAAGUGUGUUGUGAAAUGUAGACGCUCAACGUCUGAAUUGCAGCGCAUACUGGUUUCCUUGAGUACGCACAACGUUGGCGGAAUUCGUCGUGUAGCGGUGAAAUGCUUAGAUAUGACGAAGAACUCCGAUUGCGAAGGCAGCUGACGGGAGCGCAACUGACGCUUAAGCUCGAAGGUGCGGGUAUCAAACAGG
rnacentral:rRNA from 1 species